rnacentral:rRNA from 1 species
AACGCUAGCUACAGGCUUAACACAUGCAAGUCGAGGGGCAGCAUGGUCUUAGCUUGCUAAGGCCGAUGGCGACCGGCGCACGGGUGAGUAACACGUAUCCAACCUGCCGUCUACUCUUGGACAGCCUUCUGAAAGGAAGAUUAAUACAAGAUGGCAUCAUGAGUUCACAUGUUCACAUGAUUAAAGGUAUUCCGGUAGACGAUGGGGAUGCGUUCCAUUAGAUAGUAGGCGGGGUAACGGCCCACCUAGUCUUCGAUGGAUAGGGGUUCUGAGAGGAAGGUCCCCCACAUUGGAACUGAGACACGGUCCAAACUCCUACGGGAGGCAGCAGUGAGGAAUAUUGGUCAAUGGGCGCAGGCCUGAACCAGCCAAGUAGCGUGAAGGAUGACUGCCCUAUGGGUUGUAAACUUCUUUUAUAAAGGAAUAAAGUCGGGUAUGUAUACCCGUUUGCAUGUACUUUAUGAAUAAGGAUCGGCUAACUCCGUGCCAGCAGCCGCGGUAAUACGGAGGAUCCGAGCGUUAUCCGGAUUUAUUGGGUUUAAAGGGAGCGUAGAUGGAUGUUUAAGUCAGUUGUGAAAGUUUGCGGCUCAACCGUAAAAUUGCAGUUGAUACUGGAUAUCUUGAGUGCAGUUGAGGUAGGCGGAAUUCGUGGUGUAGCGGUGAAAUGCUUAGAUAUCACGAAGAACUCCGAUUG